rnacentral:rRNA from 1 species
AUUGAACGCUGGCGGCAGGCCUAACACAUGCAAGUCGAGCGGAUGACGGGAGCUUGCUCCUUGAUUCAGCGGCGGACGGGUGAGUAAUGCCUAGGAAUCUGCCUGGUAGUGGGGGACAACGUUUCGAAAGGAACGCUAAUACCGCAUACGUCCUACGGGAGAAAGCAGGUGACCUUCGGGCCUUGCGCUAUCAGAUGAGCCUCGGUCGGAUUAGCUAGUUGGUGAGGUAAUGGCUCACCAAGGCGACGAUCCGUAACUGGUCUGAGAGGAUGAUCAGUCACACUGGAACUGAGACACGGUCCAGACUCCUACGGGAGGCAGCAGUGGGGAAUAUUAGACAAUGGGCGAAAGCCUGAUCCAGCCAUGCCGCGUGUGUGAAGAAGGUCUUCGGAUUGUAAAGCACUUUAAGUUGGGAGGAAGGGCAGUAAGUUAAUACCUUGCUGUUUUGACGUUACCGACAGAAUAAGCACCGGCUAACUCUGUGCCAGCCGCCGCAGUAAGAC